rnacentral:lncRNA from 1 species
AUAAAAUUUUAUGGAAUAGACUUUCAAUACAAAGAUUAAAUAAUCAACAAAAUAUAACUAUAUACAAAAAUAUCAAUUUGUAAUUUCGAUUUUGUUAUGUUAUGUAAUGAUUUUAAAAAUAUUUUAAAAUUAGAUGCUUAGAAAGCUAGAUAAUAAAAACCUUUUUAACUGGCCUAAGCUUAGAGAACAGUAAGAAAAUGGCGUAAGAUUAUUUUAAAAAAAUUACUACCUAUAUCUUGUUUAUUUAGGUACAUCAUACACGCGUCACAUUUAUAACAGGCCAUAGACAAAUUUCAGUACGAGUCAAAUGCAUUUAAAAAUGCAUAACAUUUAAGUAAGUACAUGGUGAAAUGAACAAAAUAUUUAUAUUUUGUAGUAUAAUAAACAACACGUUUUUAGUCUUCAUUUAUUAACAGAUGAUUAAUCACCAUCCGGAGGCACCUACAGUUUGUAAUAUUAAGAAUAGUUACAAUAAUAAUUAUUAAGAAGAUGUGUGAGCAUGUAGUAUCAAAUAAUUAUUGUUUUUUACAAGAUCUUAUUCCAAAUACAAGUCAAACUAAAAUCCACACAUGAAACUGAAACAAAAGUUUUCAGUGUUUUAUUGUUAGAUAAAAUUAAUUUCCAUAAAGUAACGGUCGAAUCCAUUGAUUAAAUAAAUUAAUAUAUUAUGCAACCACUGACUGUAACAUAAUAAUUCAAUCUUUGCGUUUAGCAAAGCAAUAUUGCAAGCUUAAAGGGAAAUUUACAAGUAUUUAUUAAACUAGAAGAAUGAAGGCGUUGAAAUACAAUUAAACGACGAGGUAAAUAUACUUCUCCAAGAAAUUAACGCACAACCACCUUAAAAAUGGGUAAUUUUUGAUGUCUCGAAUUUCCUAAAUCUGUUAUCCGAUUUAAGUGAUUUUUUAAUAUGUUAUAGCCUUAGUCUUUAACAAUAUCGCUGUAAUAAUAUUGUUGCUAGACAGGUAAAUUGUAAUUGUAUACCGGGUAUACCAACUACCAAUAAAACUGUGUUUUUUUUUCUCAAAGUUCGCAUCACACUGUGGAAUAUUCUAGCAUCUAUAAAAUACUGAAAUUGAAACCAAACUAUAGCCCCAUAUUUUCUUAAGGGGGUCGUCUAGUGUCUAGGGUGAAAAAAAUCGAUUUAUUUUUUUUUGAAUAAAUAUUAUCUAAAAUAUGUGUAGAAGACGUGGGUAAAAGGAUUUUUAGAAAUUGAAAGUGGUUUAAAAGUUACAACCGUAUAUCGGAGCAGUUAUACGGAUAGGACGGGAGCUCGCUCAGCGGGGCGUGUCAGCGCUGUCACGUGACAGUUCUCGCAUCGACCGUUCAGAGAGACGCUUGAGCGAUUUCGCAAAAGAAGCACGGGUUUUAAAGAGAAAACCUAAAACGGCUUUGCAGGACUCUUUUGAAGAAGAAGGUGAACUGUAUGGUCCAGGUAUAGCAGAUUGAUGAUAAGCAGAACAGCCGAAAUCAUGGCAGCAGUUGAGAAACUUUUUUUUUAUAUGUGUCCCUGUUGGCUGAUGUAAUUAAAAAAA